GUUGUGUGGUAAUUCUUAGUACAUUUGGGUAAAUUAAUCUUAUCUUUGUGCCGCAUAAGCAUCUCUAUAAUUCAACACAUCCUUGAGCCACGACAUUAUAUAUUUUAUGCAUUGCAUGCGCUUCUCAGUUUUAUCACAAUCCAGACCGGCUAGUAACCGUUGUAUAACUUUACACGUCUGAAGACGAGCAUUUGAGUGAAACAUUUUUGUAUGAUUUUUAUUUCUGGAAAUCAAUCUAAAAUAUACGACAGUCCUUUUCCGAAAGUCGGGCUGGACCUUUACUUUUAUGUGCAAUCGGGAUUUACGCAAAUUUUAACCCGAAUAAUUCAGUCGUAUUAUUCAGCUGAUGUACGAAUGCUAUAUUUCUCGUGUGGGAGAAAAUCGGACAUGGAACGGGCUUGAAUUAUUCGAGUUACUCAAAUUGAAACUCGGGAAUAUAUUUCUAGCUGUUCGGAAUUCGCGGAAACAAAUGAUUUUUUUUCGGCAUUACGGUAUUGAAUCAAUAUGAGACAGGGGUGUAGCUAGGUAUUCUGUCAACUAUGUACACAUGACAUUCGAUAAUUAAAGAGUUUUGACAACUUCACCGGCUUUCAUCUACAGAUAACAUCGUUUAUUAUUUUUUUUUAAUAAAACAAAAAAAAUGUGAAAAAAUUAUGUGUAGGCACGUGCCUAAAGUGCCUAACGGCAGCUACGCCCCUUUGAGAUACCAAUUAUUUCUUUUAACAAAUUCGAAUACCAGUCAGUUUAUAGGACUUCAGUUUGAAAUAGGGGUGGCAAUCCAUUCAUUUUAUCCAAUCAAUUAGGGGAG
rnacentral:lncRNA from 1 species